AUACGUAGGGUGCGAGCGUUGUCCGGAAUUACUGGGCGUAAAGAGCUCGUAGGUGGUUUGUCGCGUCGUCUGUGAAAUUCCGGGGCUUAACUCCGGGCGUGCAGGCGAUACGGGCAUAACUUGAGUACUGUAGGGGAGACUGGAAUUCCUGGUGUAGCGGUGAAAUGCGCAGAUAUCAGGAGGAACACCGGUGGCGAAGGCGGGUCUCUGGGCGGUAACUAACGCUGAGGAGCGAAAGCAUGGGUAGCGAACAGGAUUAGAUACCCUGGUAGUCCAUGCCGUAAACGGUGGGCGCUAGGUGUAGGGGUCUUCCACGACUUCUGUGCCGUAGCUAAUGCAUUAAGCGCCCCGCCUGGGGAGUACGGCCGCAAGGCUAAAACUCAAAUGAAUUGACGGGG
rnacentral:rRNA from 1 species